GAACAAUUCACAGCCUUGUGCAAUCUCCCACGUUGGAGCUCUCUGCUAACAGAGACCAAUGCUGUCACAGAGAACAAAGAAGAGCAGGAAUGAUGGAAUGGUUCUGGUGUCUUCUGCCUUAGGGGCUGCCUCUCAUGACAAGCUGCAACACUCAGACUCACCUGUUUUUACUCCCCAUUCCCUCAGGAGUGGUUGCUGUUGUUACAAUCUGGAGGCUCUUGCAGAGCUCUCUGUUCUAUGCCAUUGAUAUGGUUUGGCUGUGUCCCCACCCAAAAUCUCAUAUUGAAUUGUAAUCCUCAUAAUCCCCAUAAUCCCCACGUGUCUAGGGAGAGACCAGGUGGAGGUAAUUGAAUCAUGGGGGCAGGUUUCUCCCAUACCAUUCUUGUGAUAGUGAAUUCUCAUGAGAGCUGAUGGUUUUAUACGUGUUUGGUAGUUCCUCCUGCAUUCAUUCUUCUCCCUGCUGCCUUGUGAGGAAGGUGCCUUUCUUCCCCUUCAUGUUCUGCCAUGAUUGUAAGUUUCCUGAGGCUUCCCCAGCCAUGCUGAACUGUAGUCAAUUUAACCUCUUUCCUUUAUAAAUUACCCAGUUUUGGGUAGUUCUUUAUAGCAGUGUGAAAACGAACUAAUACAGCCCUAUACUCUGAUAUCAUUUCAAUAAUUUUAUUCUCUGCCCUAAGUAACCAAUUGGUUUCUCCUGCCUAUAAUUAAGUACUUUAAUAAUAUAUUAAGUGUUACAAGAUAUGCUUAAAAAUAAAUAAAUAUAACAUUGAAUAUAUUUGUUAUCUAUGCUACUGCAACAAUGUUUUUGUUUUGUCCUUAAUUUCUCUGCAUCUUACUGAAAAUUAAUACUCAGUUGAGUUUACUUUUCUUCCUCACCUUGUAACUUAUAACUAAGGAUGAUAAUAGCAGUUAAGAUUCCUG
rnacentral:lncRNA from 10 species